GCCAGGGCCAGAACAGCCGUAUAGAUGGAGCUGCUGUCUGAUUUACUGCAUCCAGUGAAGACGAUUCUCACAGGUUAGAGCUGCGUCCCACCCAGGUCGGUGAUGGGAGGACAAACUGUAGCUCUGAGAGGUGGCUGGAGAUCUCAUCGGUUACUGUGCUCCUGGCUUUUCUCUGCAAGCUUGUAGUCGAAGUGGAAAGAUUCAAGCCUUCUUUUAUUCAGGCAAUAGUAACACUAUAGAAAAAGAGAGAAGAGGCCCUCUGCAUCUGUAUGUGUAUCUGGAGCUGUAUCGUGGAAGUGAAAGGGAUUAUUUCUGCACAGUUAUUUAACUACACUUUUCCUGGUGCCAAUGUUGAGAAGAAGUGAAGCUGAGUGAGUAUGUUAAAUGAGACUAUCAAGAAGUUACAGAGUCACAUUCAAUGAAUCUGCAGACAGAAACUGUACUAUCUGAGAAAUACUCUUUGUCCUAUAAAGGAAAAAGUGCCAGAAAUAUCCUGAUUGCAGGAAUGAUACAUGUAACGCGUAGAAACUCUCAUCACUUGAAGAGUCCAUUAUGGAAUUAUAUCUUUACAUCUUUAACUCAUGUGCAAAACUAAUAUGAAGAAUGUUCGUGCUGCAGUUGGUUGAGAAGAACAAUGCAAUAGUCAAGGAACAAGUGUGUGAACCAGGCUUGGAACAAGCAAAGAGUUUUAUAAAUGACGGAUGUGGAAGGUACCCUGGAAGUGUGCAACUGCAGAAAAAAACUGAGUAUGAAUGCUUCUGAGCAGAAAGUGAUGAUGGCAUGUGAGUGAGUCUGAUCUUACAGAAUAUGGGUUAUGUUGUCAGUGCAAAAUAUACACAGAUGGAAUAAGAUGAAUUAAGUAAAUAAAUGGGAAGAGAACUGGAGAUGUUAAUAUAUUAAAAAAAAAAAAAAAAAAGUUGAUCUGGAUGUACUCAGCCUUCAUUGAAAAGAUAGGUGGCAAGAAACAUGCUGGUACCUCUAUCCUCUCCCACUUUAAGUCUUUGGUAUCCAGAAGAUGUGCCACAGUGAGCAGAAUAAGUAUAAACAUUGGGAUUUUGUAAGCCUUUAUUUUCAAAAGCAGUUAAGUAUGCAACUAUGUGAUACAGUUUAGGAACUUCAAAUUACUUUAAAAUUGUUUGCAUUGUUAUUUUUAUUCUUUUAUUUCCUAUCUUGAGAUUCACACUAGUUACUGUAUUGUUCUAAAAUAAUUGUUACAAUUAAUUUUUUUCUGAUUAGGAAAAUUGGAUUUUUCAU